rnacentral:rRNA from 1 species
ACGUAGGGUGCGAGCGUUAAUCGGAAUUAUUGGGCGUAAAGCGCGCGCAGGUGGUCCUUUAAGUCUGAUGUGAAAGCCCACGGCUCAACCGUGGAGGGUCAUUGGAAACUGGGGGACUUGAGUACAGAAGAGGAAAGUGGAAUUCCACGUGUAGCGGUGAAAUGCGUAGAUAUCGGGAGGAACACCAGUGGCGAAGGCGGCUACCUGGCCCAUUCUUGACGCUGAGGCGCGAAAGCUAGGGGAGCGAACGGGA